rnacentral:rRNA from 1 species
AUACGGAGGGUGCAAGCGUUACUCGGAAUCACUGGGCGUAAAGCGCGCGCAGGCGGGCUGAUAAGUUGGAUGUGGAAGCCUACGGCUCAACCGUAGAACUGCAUCCAAAACUGUCAGUCUUGAGUGUGGGAGAGGAAGAUGGAAUUAGUUGUGUAGGGGUAAAAUCCGUAGAGAUAACUAGGAAUACCAAAAGCGAAGGCAAUCUUCUGGAACACUACUGACGCUGAGGCGCGAAGGCGUGGGGAGCAAACAGGAUUAGAAACCCGAGUAGUCC